AGCCGUUCCUGGCAAACCCUCUCGUCAGCUUUUACUAUGGAUGAUAUAGUACACACUAAAGUGAAAUCAAAAUGAAACCAGAAAUAGUAUACACCAUUAACAACUCUAGCAACAUGCACGUCUGAUUCCAUUCUUAAUUGUGGGUGUUACUGUGAGCUCUCUAAUGCCCUCAAACCCAGUUGUAUACACACAAAUUAGCAGUACUUAAAACACAUUACAUCCCUCUCUCUUUCUCAAAAAAAAAAAAAAA
rnacentral:misc_RNA from 1 species